rnacentral:rRNA from 1 species
CGAACGAUGAACCAUUUCGGUGGGGAUUAGUGGCGAACGGGUGAGUAACACGUGGGCAAUCUGCCCUGCACUCUGGGACAAGCCCUGGAAACGGGGUCUAAUACCGGAUAUGAGUUCCUUCCGCAUGGUGGGGACUGUAAAGCUCCGGCGGUGCAGGAUGAGCCCGCGGCCUAUCAGCUUGUUGGUGAGGUAAUGGCUCACCAAGGCGACGACGGGUAGCCGGCCUGAGAGGGCGACCGGCCACACUGGGACUGAGACACGGCCCAGACUCCUACGGGAGGCAGCAGUGGGGAAUAUUGCACAAUGGGCGAAAGCCUGAUGCAGCGACGCCGCGUGAGGGAUGACGGCCUUCGGGUUGUAAACCUCUUUCAGCAGGGAAGAAGCGAGAGUGACGGUACCUGCAGAAGAAGCGCCGGCUAACUACGUGCCAGCAGCCGCGGUAAUACGUAGGGCGCAAGCGUUGUCCGGAAUUAUUGGGCGUAAAGAGCUCGUAGGCGGCUUGUCGCGUCGGUUGUGAAAGCCCGGGGCUUAACCCCGGGUCUGCAGUCGAUACGGGCAGGCUAGAGUUCGGUAGGGGAGAUCGGAAUUCCUGGUGUAGCGGUGAAAUGCGCAGAUAUCAGGAGGAACACCGGUGGCGAAGGCGGAUCUCUGGGCCGAUACUGACGCUGAGGAGCGAAAGCGUGGGGAGCGAACAGGAUUAGAUACCCUGGUAGUCCACGCCGUACACGGUGGGCACUAG